AGGCAAGCUUUCCCAGUAGUUGGCCAAGCCUGGGCCUUGCAUAAUUUUGGGUGGAUUUGGUCUUUUGAGGCAAGGGUUUUCCAUUUUGUAGAAAUGGUGUCAAUGGGGAGAGCCUAGGGAAAGUCCAUGGAGCCUCACACACGGAUAGGCCAGUGGGAUUUCAGAGUGACUUCAACGCCCUCCCUUGCCCCUCCAGGUGAAGUGUGAAACUAGCACACCUGUGGCAGAAGACAGACACGCAAGUCUUUUCCUUCCUGAGGCUUUGUAUUCCCUUCUGCGUGGAUCCCCUUCCCUCCCCACCAGCCCUGGCCUGAGAUUCAGCUCCAGCAUCACCUCCUCAGCUGAUCAGUUGACAGGAGA